GCUCAGUCCUUUGGAUGUUAAUCCAAGUGGACCAGUGCACCUAAAUAAUAAAUAUCCUCCUCAAUCCCUUGGUCUCUCUGAUUCCUUAUAUAUCCCGAUACAUUUCUGGGGGCUCAUCAGGAUUGGAGAUGACAGAUUUACUGUCCCCUUUGCCUGCGAUACUAGGUCCCCGGGGCCAGGAGAGACCCGGCAUCCAAGGUGUGCCACAGCUGAGCUUCACCCGGAUAUAUAGACCAGCUCUCCCCACGUCCCAGCACCCUGCCUGGCAGCGCAAUGGAACCGAGGAUGGGGCUGCAGGACGAUACCAGCACUUCAGGAACUGUGACAGAAUCUUGCUCCGCUGCCAAGGCUGGAGUGCACUGGUUCAAUCUCGGCUCACUGCAAACUCUGCCUCCCAAGUUCAAGUGAUUCUCCUGUGUCAGUUUCUUUAGGAAUACAGCACUCCAUAUUGUUACCAUAAUAAUGAAACGGAUUCCCAUGGCUACAGCGAUGAAGCAGCAGAAAAAAAAUGGAGAUGCUGUCAAAGAAAAAAGACACAGAUCAGAGAAAGAAGCAUAAAAGGUGUUUAAGAAAUAAGUAACAUAGCAGGGCGCGGUGGCUCAUGCCUGUAAUCCCUCACGCCUACAAUCCCUCACGCCUGUAAUCUCAGCAGUUUGGGAGGCCGAGGUGGACAGAUUGCUUGCGGUAAGGAGUUUGAGACCAGCGUAGCCAACAUGGCGAAACCCCAUCUCUACGAAAAAUUAGCCAGGCAUGGUGGUGAGUGCCUGUAGUCCCAGCUACUUCGGAGGUGGAGGCCGAAGAAUUGCUUGAGCCUGGAAGGCUGAGAUCUCAGUGAGCCGAGACUGCCACUGCACGGGUGACAGAGCGAGCCUCUGUCUCAAAGAAAGAAAGAGUAUGUACCUGGAUAUGUAUUUUUAAAAUAAUGUAAAGAUUUAAAAAUAGUUCGAAGAACCUAAUUGUAUGGCUUUUGAAGCAACUAGAAGUAUGUUCUUUACAGAUGGUGGGAGUAAUGUUAUAUUAAGUUUGUGUAAGCUAUAACACUUAAGUGUUUAUAAGCAUGUUUAUAAGCUGGUGUUUACAAGCAUGUUUUUAUUUCCGAACAAAAUUCAAAAGAAGUUUGUCUUUGUAAAAAUUCAGAUGUGCACAGUUCUUGUUCCUCUCUGAAGAUAUUGGAAAUGUAUUGCUAAUACUGGUAAUAUAUAACAAUUUUUUUAUGAAUAGAUGACUUAUUUAAUAGUUACGUAUCUAAAUCUGAAUAUUUUCUAUAUAAUUUGUCUAUGGAAACAAAUAUUUAUACAAUUGUUCACAUAUUGCUCUUUUCUUUGUAAUGUUAUUCCUUCUAGGUAUAAAAUAUAGACGUUCUCAAGAAGAUUAGUGUUUGCAAUAGAAAGCUGGGCCAUUUGGCCACACCUGCAAAUGAUUAUUGGUUUUGCGGGAGACUGCAAUCCAUAAAAAAUUACUGGCAGAGUUUGAGAAUUUGUAUAAGAAAACAAAUUUUAUGAGAUGCAAAAUCAAUACUAUUAUACUAAUUUAAAUUUUGUAAUAGCAAAGCUAAUUCUUGUUACUUUUCAGUCUUUCAAUUCACUAAGAUAAUGAGUGUUACGCACUGAACACAUACAAAUGUAUUGCUGUGACUGAAUGAAGAGGACAAAUUAACAAAGCAAUUCCGAGGCCCUGGAAAUUGAUCAAAGGCUAAUAAUCAUUUGUGAACUAUUUAUUCUUGGAAAAACUGCUAGAGAUUCAAGGAAGAGUGCAGCAAAUUUGUAGUAAGUUUACCUAGUGCUGCUCCCGUGCCUUCUGCCCACCCACCACACCCAGCACAGUGAGUAACAGUUGCAGUUUUUACAGCUGGGGGAAAAUCAACAGUGUUUUUUGCCACAAGGACAGACUUGAUUAGCGGUCAGAGGUUGGGGCAUAGUGUAACAGACCACUGCUUUUCAACUGAAAGUGCUGAAUUUUGCAGGAAAUGAAUGAGAAAACCCCAUUUUUUGUUGUUUUUUAUUUUUUUUAGUCUGAGGUGUAGUCUCCUCUGGGGCAAGAACAGUGCCAGCCAUAAAUAUAACAAAAUCCUAAACAUGAGAGUGCAAUAGACCUCAUGACAUUAGCCCUCUACAUAUUCUUUAAAUUUUUUUUUAAAUUGACACAUUGUAAUUGUACAUAUUUAUGGGGUACAACUUGAUGUUCAAUACAUAUAUAUGUUACAUUAAAUAAUCAAAUCAGGG
rnacentral:lncRNA from 1 species